rnacentral:rRNA from 1 species
CGCUGGCGGCGUGCCUAACACAUGCAAGUCGAACGGAGAUGUGGAAGUAGUUUAAUAUUGAAGCAUCUUAGUGGCGGACGGGUGAGUAACACAUGGGCAACCUGCCUUAGAGAGGGGGAUAACACCGAGAAAUCGGUGCUAAUACCGCAUAACAUUAAAGUAUCGCAUGAUACUUUAAUCAAAGGAGAAAUCCGCUUUAAGAUGGGCCCGCGUCUGAUUAGCUAGUUGGUGGGAUAGAAGCUUACCAAGGCGACGAUCAGUAGCCGAUCUGAGAGGAUGAACGGCCACACUGGAACUGAGACACGGUCCAGACUCCUACGGGAGGCAGCAGUGGGGAAUAUUGCACAAUGGGGGAAACCCUGAUGCAGCAACGCCGCGUGGAGGACGAAGGUUUUCGGAUUGUAAACUCCUGUCUUUUGGGACGAUAAUGACGGUACCAAAAGAGGAAGCCACGGCUAACUACGUGCCAGCAGCCGCGGUAAUACGUAGGUGGCGAGCGUUGUCCGGAAUUACUGGGCGUAAAGGGCGCGUAGGCGGCCUAUUAAGUCAGAUGUGAAACCCCCAGGCUCAACUUGGGGAUUGCAUAUGAAACUGGUGGGCUUGAGUGUCGGAGAGRAAAGUGGAAUUCCUAGUGUAGCGGUGAAAUGCGUAGAUAUUAGGAGGAACACCAGUGGCGAAGGCGACUUUCUGGACGAUAACUGACGCUGAGGCGCGAAAGCGUGGGGAGCAAACAGGAUUAGAUACCCUGGUAGUCCACGCUGUAAACGAUGGAUACUAGGUGUGGGAGGUAUCGACCCCUUCCGUGCCGCAGUAAACGCAAUAAGUAUCCCGCCUGGGGAGUACGGCCGCAAGUG